rnacentral:rRNA from 1 species
UUNAAGGCGCUUUUGCGUCACUUGNGGAUGGACCCGCGGUGCAUUAGCUAGUUGGUGAGGUAACGGCUCACCAAGGCNACNAUGCAUAGCCGACCUGAGAGGGUGAUCGGCCACACUGGGACUGAGACACGGCCCAGACUCCUACGGGAGGCAGCAGUAGGGAAUCUUCGGCAAUGGACGAAAGUCUGACCGAGCAACGCCGCGUGAGUGAAGAAGGUUUUCGGAUCGUAAAACUCUGUUGUUA